AGAGUUUGAUCAUGGCUCAGAACGAACGCUGGCGGCGUGGAUAAGACAUGCAAGUCGAACGCUGAUCACAUUGUAGCAAUAUAGUGUGGUUGGAGUGGCGCAAGGGUGCGUAACACGUGGGUAAUUUGCCGUGAAGUCGGGGAUAACUUGCUGAAAGGCGAGCUAAUACCGGAUGUGAUCAUCGAGAGGCAUCUUUUGAUGAUUGAAGUUGGGGACCGUAAGNNUGACGCUUCACGAUAAGCCCGCGGCCUAUCAGCUAGUUGGUGAGGUAACGGCUCACCAAGGCUAAGACGGGUAGCUGGUCUGAGAGGACGACCAGUCACACUGGAACUGAGACACGGUCCAGACACCUACGGGUGGCAGCAGUCGAGAAUUUUUCUCAAUGGGCGAAAGCCUGAAGGAGCGACGCCGCGUGGGGGAUGAAUGGCUUCGGCCCGUAAACCCCUGUCAUUUGCGAACAAUGUGCAUUAUUUAAAAGAUGAUGCAUUGAUAGUAGCGGAAGAGGAAGGGACGGCUAACUCUGUGCCAGCAGCCGCGGUAAUACAGAGGUCCCGAGCGUUGUUCGGAUUCACUGGGCGUAAAGGGUGCGUAGGUGGCGAGGUAAGUCGGAUGUGAAAUCUCCAAGCUUAACUUGGAAAUGGCAUUGGAAACUACCUUGCUUGAGGUUUGGAGGGGGGACUGGAAUUCUCGGUGUAGCAGUGAAAUGCGUAGAUAUCGAGAGGAACACCAGUGGCGAAGGCGAGUCCCUGGACAACACCUGACACUGAGGCACGAAAGCUAGGGGAGCAAACAGAUUAGAUACCCNNGUAGUCC
rnacentral:rRNA from 1 species